GGGGCCGUAGCUCAACGGGAGAGCACCCGCCUUGCAAGCGGGGGGUUGUGGGUUCAAGUCCCAUCGGUCUCC
rnacentral:tRNA from 1 species